AAGAAGACUAGUUAAAUAUAUAACUUGAGCUUGUCGAGUUCAUAUUGCUUACCAAAGCGUUUUCUUAUU
rnacentral:tRNA from 1 species